GAGUUUGAUCUUGGCUCAGAUUGAACGCUGGCGGCAUGCCUUACACAUGCAAGUCGAACGGCAGCACGGGAGCUUGCUCCUGGUGGCGAGUGGCGAACGGGUGAGUAAUGCAUCGGAACGUAUCCUGGAGUGGGGGAUAACGUAGCGAAAGUUACGCUAAUACCGCAUAUUCUGUGAGCAGGAAAGCGGGGGACCUUCGGGCCUCGCGCUCUUGGAGCGGCCGAUGUCGGAUUAGCUAGUUGGUGAGGUAAAGGCUCACCAAGGCGACGAUCCGUAGCAGGUCUGAGAGGAUGAUCUGCCACACUGGAACUGAGACACGGUCCAGACUCCUACGGGAGGCAGCAGUGGGGAAUUUUGGACAAUGGGGGCAACCCUGAUCCAGCCAUGCCGCGUGAGUGAAGAAGGCCUCGG
rnacentral:rRNA from 47 species